rnacentral:rRNA from 1 species
GACAGAGGAUGCAAGGCGUUAUCCGGAAUCACUGGGCGUAAAGCGUCUGUAGGUGGUUCAAUAAGUCAACUGUUAAAUCUUGAGGCUCAACUUCAAAAUCGCAGUCGAAACUAUUGGACUCGAGUAUAGUAGGGGUAAAGGGAAUUUCCAGUGGAGCGGUGAAAUGCGUAGAGAUCGGAAAGAACACCAACGGCGAAAGCACUCUGCUGGGCCGACACUGACACUGAGAGACGAAAGCUAGGGGAGCGAAUGGG